rnacentral:rRNA from 1 species
CCUACGGGUGGCAGCAGUCGAGAAUCAUUCACAAUGGAGGAAACUCUGAUGGUGCGACGCCGCGUGAGGGAAUGAAGGUCUUCGGAUUGUAAACUCCUGUCAUGUGGGAGCAAAAUAAAGUGAGUGUACGACCUUAGGUAGACACUGCUAACUUUGUGCCAGCAGCCGCGGUACUACAGAGGUCGCAAGCGUUGUUCGGAGUGACUGGGCGUAAAGCGUGCGUAGGCUGUUUAGUAAGUCGUGUGUGAAAGGCGCGGGCUCAACCCGAGGACGGCACAUGAAACUGUGAGACUAGAGUAAAGGAGGGGGAACCGGAAUUCUCGGUGUAGCAGUGAAAUGCGUAGAUAUCGAGAGGAACACUCGUGGCGAAGGCGGGUCCCUGGACAGUAACUGACGCUGAGGCUCGAAGGCCUGGGGAGCGAACGGGAUUAGAUACCCUGGUAGUC